GUCACUGAUUGGGACUCCUGACAACAUCCACUGUACUGCUUCCGUUCGAAGAAUGUAAACCUUUAAAGUGAGGAGGAAAAAGAAAAGAACAGCAGGCUACCUCCUGUUAAGCGGGAGCUACAUGUUUCAUAGUCGCUGUCGUCACAUAGUCACUGCGAGUGUCGGCUAAUAACGCUAUCCUGUACACUGUACUUGAAAGAUUGAAAGCCCCGCAGGUCGCAAGGCAUACUGGGACAUCUUUCGAAGUCGGUUACUGAUUUAUUCGUAAUGCGGAGACUACUGACAGUAUUGGUACUGCUUGCUAUCCUUCAAAAUGUCCUACUGGCGGAGCCCGGAACCGAACAAGACCCCGCUCCAAAAACGGCAAGGACCAAUAACCAAGGGGCAAUUAAGAAGAUACAAGAAAUCAUCAGAAGGGCCAGGGAACACAAUGAAUUUGACGACGAAAUAGAAGGAGAUGACUUGUACGCCGCGUGGAAGAAUAUGCAACCGGUAUAACCGUGGUGUUCUUGCACAGUGGAAUAUCCUGAAACCACAUGUAUUCGAAACCGAAUAAACUCCGAAAAACCGACA